rnacentral:rRNA from 1 species
CGAGUCCCGCCGCAAGGCGGGAUUAGCGGCAGACGGGUGAGUAACACGUGGGAAACCUUCCCUAAAGAGGAGGACACCCCCGAGAAAUCGGGGCUAAUACUCCAUAAGACCACAUUUCGGCAUCGGAAAGGGGUCAAAGGCGCAAGCCACUUUUGGAUGGUCCCGCGCUCUAUCAGCUAGUUGGUGAGGUAAAGGCUCACCAAGGCUAAGACGGAUAGCCGGCCUGAAAGGGUGAUCGGCCACAAUGGAACUGAGACACGGUCCAUACUCCUACGGGAGGCAGCAGUGGGGAAUCUUGGACAAUGGGCGAAAGCCCGAUCCAGCAACGCCGCGUGAAGGAUGAAGGCCUUCGGGUUGUAAACUUCUUUUGGAGGGGACGAAACAAAUGACGGUACCCUCAGAAAAAGCCACGGCUAACUACGUGCCAGCAGCCGCGGUAAUACGUAGGUGGCGAGCGUUACUCGGAAUUACUAGGCGUAAAGCGCGCGUAGGCGGUUAGAUAAGUCUAUAGUGAAAUCUCCCGGCUCAACCGGGAUAGGUCUAUGGAAACUAUCUAGCUUGAGUGUGGCAGGGGGAGACGGAAUUCCCGGUGUAGCGGUGAAAUGCGUAGAUACCGGGAGGAACACCAAUGGCGAAAGCAGUCUCCUGGGCCAAUACUGACGCUGAGGUGCGAAAGCUAGGGGAGCAAACAGGAUUAGAUACCCUGGUAGUCCUAGCUGUAAACUAUGUUCACUAGAUGUAGGAGGUAUCGACCCCUUCUGCGUCGACGCUAACGUAUUAAGUGAACCGCCUGGGGAGUAC